AACCCAUGAUGAAGACACUUUCUCAAAAGAUCCUUAUACCUCUCUCAUGCAUCAUAUAAUGCCUCCAACUCAAUUUGAGAAAAAAAAGAUAUUUCAUUCCUCAAUU
rfam:Gossypium raimondii chromosome 2, whole genome shotgun sequence.